GUCCAUGCCGUAAACGUUGGGAACUAGGUGUGGGUCUCAUUCCACGAGAUCCGUGCCGCAGCUAACGCAUUAAGUUCCCCGCCUGGGGAGUACGGCCGCAAGGCUAAAACUCAAAGGAAUUGACGGGGGCCCGCACAAGCGGCGGAGCAUGCGGAUUAAUUCGAUGCAACGCGAAGAACCUUACCAAGGCUUGACAUAUACCGGAAACAUUCAGAGAUGGAUGCCCCGCAAGGUCGGUAUACAGGUGGUGCAUGGUUGUCGU
rnacentral:rRNA from 1 species